rnacentral:pre_miRNA from 1 species
AAAAAGUCAAACCCUGAGUUUUCGUGUCCAACUUUGACUAUCCGUCUUAUAUAAAAUUUUUUUAUAAUUCGUAUUUUCAUUGUUGUUUGAUGAUAAAACAUGAUUAAUAUUUUAUGCGUGACUUGUCUUUUUAAUUUUUUUCAUAAUUUUUUUAAAUAAGACGGACGGUUAAACGUUGGGCACGGAAACCAGGGUUUGUCUUUUU